GAAAUGCGAUAAGUAAUGUGAAUUGCAGAAUUCAGUGAAUCAUCGAAUCUUUGAACGCACAUUGCGCCCGCCAGUAUUCUGGCGGGCAUGCCUGUCCGAGCGUCAUUUCAACCAUCAAGCCCCCGGGCUUGUGUUGGGGACCUGCGGCUGCCCGCAGGCCCUGAAAACCAGUGGCGGGCUCGCUGUCACACCGAGCGUAGUAGCAAUCACCUCGCUCAGGGCGAGCUGCGGGUUCCGGCCGUUAAACAGCCUUACAAAACCCAAGGUUGACCUCGGAUCAGGUAGGAAGACCCGCUGAACUUAAGC
rnacentral:misc_RNA from 1 species